CAGUUAGUUACUUAAAGGUUGGGUAUGCGAUUUGCGAAACGCCAGCAGAUUUUGAAAAUACACAACUCAAAUGGUCCUACCCCCUCUCCUUCAACGCUGACUCUGACUCCACCCAUUCCAAGUACCUGGACGCGCAAUCAUGCACGAGCGCGAACAGAGAUGCGCGAGAGCGAGCCAGGCUAGCGUAGAGUUUUCCUUCUCUUUGCUGGUGGUGGUGGUGGGGAUGGUGGCGUCUUGUCUCCCAUGGAAAUUGUCUUCUACUGCUAGGUCCAAAUGUGGAUUAACUAGUUCCAGUAGCUACCGCAGGAUAACAACAAACAGGAGCUUGCUCUGGGUCACGAGCUCUGGGUCACGAGUACUGCACGAAGGGGUCGCGCGCGGGGCGCGGGGGAGGGGGAGUGCAGUACGACCGUUUGAUUGACGUACUUACUGUCCAAUGCAACGAGGUGGCAAUCCAAAUGAUUGGCUGGAGUUUUUCGAGCCCUGCCCGUUCCACAGAUGAUUGACUUGUUUAAUUUUCAUGUCAGUACUUCUAACUCAGUGGCUGUAAGCGGGUUAUGAUAAGGAUUUCAAGUAAUUUUGCAAAAAUGGCCAAAAAAGCUAAUUCCGUACCCAACCUUUAAACUAAGACUUGGAAU